GCUUUAAAUCCAGCUCCUGUAGUAAACAAAAGAAAAGAAAAAGAGAACUUGAUGUCAUCAAAUGAGUGAAGCAAAAAAUUAAGCUGUUGAUGUUACAGUCAUUCUAAUAUUACUCAACUUAAGAAUUAAUUAUUUUAUUUACCAUGUGAACUGAUGUAAUUCAUAAGUGACUUCUGUUUUUUAAGAAUUAUUCCCUAAGGGAAACUUACCGACAGUCUUUCGAUGAUAUUUCCAGUUUGGUUUAAGUUGAGUUUGCCAAGGCCAAUUUCAAUGCACUUCUUCAAAGUAAUUUUCACCUAAACAGAAUGACACAAUACUGUGGAUUUAGCACUUAUUAAGGUGUCUUUAUACAGCUGAGGUAAGGCUGCUCUAUGCCUGCUCAAAAUUCAGUGUAAAAGUGUAAUGCCAUGCCUGCGAAGACCCACCUCAGCCCCUAGUUUCAAAGUAUACAAUUGCAAUUGCUGUGUAAAUGCAUUUAUGCCACCUCUAAAAAUCAUUAAACAGUCUGUGUAAAACCAUCUAAAUUCCACUUCAGAAGCACUUCUGUGCCACUUUUGCUGAGUAAAAUUUACAUUAGUAAUGAGGUAAGCUAAAUAAAGCAAGAAAACUUGAAAUGAAUAACUGAUACAUAUCUACUAACUGAUUGCAGGUCAGUGUACUGUAAAAUAAACAUGCCUUACCGAACAAGUGAAGUUGUGACAUUUGCAUGGUCCUUCCUGCAUGAGAAGAGAAGAGAGUCCACCGUUAUUGCUUUAUUAAAGCAGACAUGUUUCUAAAGUAUAGUCUGCCAAUGGCAAAACCAUUUUGAGUCUACAGUCUCAGAAUAAAGACACUAUAAAAAACAAAGCAAAAUGUAUUCUUUGGUGGCAAAAGGAUUUGAGCUUAUACAGAUGGAACAAUCAUGCAAAUGGAAAGGAAGUCAGAGCACUGCACAAAUAUGAUACUAUCUUGUGUUAUUCUGAUAAGCAUUAGUCUGUGGUUCAACAGCAUGUAUGAGACCCAACGUAUUAACAGGUAUCUACAUGUUUCAAGUUUCAAAUGCACAUUCUGGAGCCCAGCACUCACUCCAAGUCAAGUACAAAAUCAAAAGCAGUUUGUUUCCUCCCCAUCUGCCAUUUGUUGGAGCAACUGAAAGUUUUGCCCUAAACUCACACCGUUGGUUGGGCCAGUGCAGCUUUGGAGGUCCGAUGCAUAAUCAAAUGAUUAAUGAUAUGAGAAAAUUUCAUAAUCAUUCCAGGGAGAGAUUCAUUUACCAGGAAAAGAUAACCCAAGUUUGAAUUAUACGCAAAAUGUGUAACCAGAAAAAUUUAAAUAUUGUUUUAUGUACUCCAAAAACUUUUUUAUUUACAACUUAAAAAAAUAUACAUACUUUCCAAUACAAGAAUACAAAAUUAUCAGUGAUACAUCUGUGAUACAUGACAUGAAAAAGCUUUGUUCUCCUUUAUCAGAGGAAGUUAUUCGGUCCCACUUUAUAUUAAGUGGCCUUAAAUGGAUACUCCACCCAAAAAUGAAAAUUUUGUCAUUAAUCACUUACCCUCAUGUCGUUCCAAACCCAUUAAAGCUUUGUUCAUCUUCGUAACACAAUUUAAGAUAUUUUGGAUGAAAACCGGGAGGCUUGUGACUGUCCCAUUGACUGCCAAAUAAAUAACAGUGUCAAGGUCCAGUAAAGUGUGACAGGCAUCGUCAGAAUACUCCAUCUGCCAUCAGUGUUUCAACCAUAACAUUAUGAAGCAACCAGAAUACUUUUUGUAGGCGAAUAAAACAAAAAUAUCGACUUUAUUCAACAAUUUGUCUCCUCUGUGUCUCUCCACAUCAUCAUAGCGCCACUUUGGAGAAUAUGAGCUGAACGCAGGCAGUGUACGCUCUUCUGUGUCAGCUGUGCCACAAGGAUACAUUUUCUACGUGUAUUUACACUUUGAUUUGAACGAAAACAGCGCAUCCUUGUGGCGCUGCUGAAACAGAAGAGCGUAAGCUGCCUGCAUUCAGCUCGUUUUAUCAAAUUAUAUUAUCAUAUAAUGAGCUAUGGUGAUGUGGAGAGACACAGAGGAGAGGAAUUGUUAAAUAAGGUCAUUGUUUUUGUUUUAUUCGCAUACAAAAAGUAUUGUUGUCGGUUCGUAACAUUACAGUUGAACCACUGAUGGCAGAUGGACUAUUCUGACAAUGCUUUUCAUACUUUUCUGGACAUCGACAGUGUAUUUUACUUGGCAGUCUAUGGGACAGUCACAAGCCUCCCGGUUUUCAUCCAAAAUAUCUUAAAUUGUGUUUGGAACGACAUGGAGGUAAGUGAUUAAUGACAACAUUUUCAUUUUGGGGUGGAGUAUCCCUUUAACUACUAUGUACUUAUAUUUAAAUUAAUCAUUUGGUACAAUGCACUUAUUGUGUACAUACAAGUUUUUACAUUGUACUUAUAUUUGAAAAAUAUCUGCAUGCAAUUAAAUCUGUAAUUAAGUUCUGUAAUUACAUUUAUGACCAAUCCCUUAAACCUACUGAUACCACCAAACCUGUCCCUAACCUUACAUGUUUCCCACCUCAAUAGCAGCAAAAGUGUUUUGCAAUACAAUAUGAACACAAUAAGUACAUUGUACUUAUUUUUUGAUGUAAGUACAUAGUAGUUAAGGCAACUUUAUAUAAAGUGGGACCAGUUAUAGACCAGGAGCACUAAUAUCCAGUGAGAUUAAAAUGACAAAACUAUCAGAAUCUCCAUCAUACAUGAAAGAUAAUAGAUGCCUAAUCUCCAGUUUUGCCAACUGUGGAAUUUGAGUUUUAACUAUUGUGUAUGAUGAAUCUUGAUGACUUAUCUCUGAGAGAUAUAUAGAGACUGAAUGUUUAAUACUUUACUAUUAAUAAGCCUUACUCUGCUCUGUGUGUUUAUCUGUUAAUUACUGUUGAUAACAUAAUAUAUCACAUAAUAAACUGUUUUUGGCUGUUCUAAAAGCACAUGUGUGAUAUGUGUCUGCCAGAGAGAUGUGGCAGGCUGCUGGGACAUGUGAAGUUAAGAGCUCUUCAGAUCCUGUUGAAGACAAAGAUUUCUGUUCAAACCAGCUGAGAACGGAAAAUACUAAAAUAGGUUCCCAGCAACCCUUUUAUGGAUUACUAUGAGAAGUGAGUGCAAUAUUAGCGGCAUUCAUGUCCAAAGAGAACUCUUAAUGCAGACGGAGACUGUGUAUUUGGAGCUCUCC
ensembl:lncRNA